rnacentral:rRNA from 1 species
AGUUUUAAGUGAAGAGUUUGAUCCUGGCUCAGAGUGAACGCUGGCGGUAGGCCUAACACAUGCAAGUCGAACGGCAGCACAGGAGAGCUUGCUCUCUGGGUGGCGAGUGGCGGACGGGUGAGGAAUACAUCGGAAUCUACUUUUUCGUGGGGGAUAACGUAGGGAAACUUACGCUAAUACCGCAUACGACCUACGGGUGAAAGCAGGG